GCGGACUGUUUUGAUCAAGAAAAUGAAAUUUGCUCAUCCCAAAAUCAAUGUCUUCCUUCCAAGUUUCUCUGCUCAUUGAGGAAUGUUUUCAAAUUAACAGCAGAGUUAAACUCUUGGAUCUUCAAUUCCUCUCUGUACGACCCCGGGAGCGAUGCUUGGGCAUAUACCUCUACAAAGAUCAUAACAACUGUUGUCCCCAGAAUGCGGCGUGUUCUGUCAGAGCCAUCCUUUGACAUGACAGUGGUGGGCUUCCAGAGGGGUAGUGUGGUGGUCAGGAUGAUGUGUGGUUUUAAUGGGAAUACUUCCACUGAUGAAAGAGCUCUCCAGACUGCUCUCCAGGACACUAUCUGCAAACACCUGGACAUAACCGCCAUAGCUACCUUGAAAAGAAUUUCCCAGAUAUCAACGGCCCCGGGAGAAGGCUGGAAAGUGGCAACCAUAGUCCUUGGAGUUCUGCUGGGCUUGAUUUUGUUAGUCGUGGUUGUUAUUCUGAUCAGCACCACAGUGAGGAGAGCAGCUUGCAAGCUGACCUCAUACAAAAUCCAGCACACAGAGCACAACAGAUAGGUGGUGUCCAAUGACUACUUACAAUGAUGUUAUUCUUACCAGGUUUAGUUCAGAAAUUCUUGAAAGACAGGACAAUCUCUAUUUCUUUCCACAAAUAUAUUUCUUAAU